rnacentral:rRNA from 1 species
UACGGGGGGGGGCAAGCGUUGUUCGGAAUUACUGGGCGUAAAGCGCGCGUAGGCGGCUUUUCAAGUCAGACGUGAAAGCCCCAGGCUUAACCUGGGAAUUGCGUUUGAUACUGUUAAGCUAGAGUGUGGAAGGGGCUACUGGAAUUCCGUGUGUAGCGGCGAAAUGCGUAGAUAUAACGGAGGAACACCAGCGGCGAAGGCGGGUAGCUGGGCCAACACUGACGCUGGAUGACGCGAAAGCUAGGGUAGCAAACGGG